UGUCCUAAUUCCCUUAAUUGCAAUCUACACCCUCUUGUCUUCUAUAUUACAAGUAAGUCCCUCUACUCCCAUAUAAAUUGACCCUUCCUCUUCACUAUUUUCAGCAUAAAUACAUCAGCCUAAAAAUCACUCCUCUCCUCUCUUUCUCGUCCAAAUACAGCCCCAAAAGGAAGAAUUCAUCUUCCACUUCCAAACCUUCAAGAUUCUUCAUAAAAGUCUCUCUUUUCCUCUUCUAAAAUCCUCUCAAAAUGCCUCUCUCUCCCUAAAUUCGAGAUUCCUCAAAUACAUUCAAAGAAACAACCAUAUAACCUCUCAAAACACAUCUCCUAAGCAAUCCAAUACCACCCAUGUCAAGCCCAAAGACUUCCAAGCUAAAACUCCAUGGAUCCUUGGUUUCUUCUCCUUCUUAGCCUUUGAUUUUCAUGGGUUCUCGAAGUAAUAAGAGUGCGCAGCGGAGCGGAGUUCGAGGAAUCACGAACCUUGAUGCCUUGCAUGUCUUACCCGGAUUUCGUAAAAGAUCAUGUUUUCACUUUCACAUGUAAACAAAAGGUCUUAUGUACAAAAAUUGGAGAUUUUCAUGAUUAUAUUUUACUCUGAUUUAG